AUGGCUCAGGAUGAACGCUAGCUACAGGCUUAACACAUGCAAGUCGAGGGGCAGCAUGAGAUUAGCUUGCUAAUCUUGAUGGCGACCGGCGCACGGGUGCGUAACACGUAUCCAAUCUACCCAUGGCUCGGGGAUAGCCUUUCGAAAGAAAGAUUAAUACCCGAUGGUCUGCGAUUGAGACAUCUCGAUUGCAGUAAAGACUUGUCGGCGAUGGAUGGGGAUGCGUCCGAUUAGCUAGUUGGCGGGGUAACGGCCCACCAAGGCGACGAUCGGUAGGGGUUCUGAGAGGAAGGUCCCCCACACUGGAACUGAGACACGGUCCAGACUCCUACGGGAGGCAGCAGUGAGGAAUAUUGGUCAAUGGUCGGGAGACUGAACCAGCCAAGUAGCGUGAGGGACGACGGCCCUACGGGUUGUAAACCUCUUUUGUAUGGGAAUAAAGUGAGGCACGUGUGCCUUUUUGUAUGUACCUUACGAAUAAGCAUCGGCUAAUUCCGUGCCAGCAGCAGC
rnacentral:rRNA from 1 species